rnacentral:rRNA from 1 species
UACGUAGGGGCCUAGCGUUGUCCGGAUUUAUUGGGCGUAAAGAGCUCGUAGGCGGCUUGGUAAGUCAGGUGUGAAAUCUCCACGCUCAACGUGGAGGGGCCACCCGAAACUGCCAUGGCUUGAGUCCGGUAGGGGAGUGUGGAAUUCCCGGUGUAGCGGUGAAAUGCGUAGAGAUGUGGAGGAACACCAGUGGCGAAGGCGGCUUUCUGGUCUGUAACUGACGCUGAGGCGCGAAAGCGUGGGGAGCAAACAGG